UCCGGAUUUAUUGGGUUUAAAGGGAGCGUAGGCCGGAGAUUAAGUGUGUUGUGAAAUGUAGACGCUCAACGUCUGACUUGCAGCGCAUACUGGUUUCCUUGAGUACGCACAACGUUGGCGGAAUUCGUCGUGUAGCGGUGAAAUGCUUAGAUAUGACGAAGAACUCCGAUUGCGAAGGCAGCUGACGGGAGCGCAACUGACGCUUAAGCUCGAAGGUGCGGGUAUCGAACAGGAUUAGAUACCCUGGUAGUCCGCACAGUAAACGAUGGAUGCCCGCUGUUGGUACCUGGUAUCAGCGGCUAAGCGAAAGCAUUAAGCAUCCCACCUGGGGAGUACGCCGGCAACGGUGAAACUCAAAGGAAUUGACGGGGGCCCGCACAAGCGGAGGAACAUGUGGUUUAAUUCGAUGAUACGCGAGGAACCUUACCCGGGCUUGAAUUGCAGAGGAAGGAUUUAGAGAUAAUGACGCCCUUCGGGGCCUCUGUGAAGGUGCUGCAUGGUUGUCGUCAGCUCGUGCCGUGAGGUGUCGGCUUAAGUGCCAUAACGAGCGCAACCCCUCUCUUCAGUUGCCAUCAGGUAGUGCUGGGCACUCUGGAGACACUGCCACCGUAAGGUGUGAGGAAGGUGGGGAUGACGUCAAAUCAGCACGGCCCUUACGUCCGGGGCUACACACGUGUUACAAUGGCCGGUACAGAGGGAUGGUGUAAUGCAAAUUGCAUCAAAUCUUGAAAGCCGGUCCCAGUUCGGACUGGGGUCUGCAACCCGACCCCACGAAGCUGGAUUCGCUAGUAAUCG
rnacentral:rRNA from 1 species